rnacentral:rRNA from 1 species
GACGAACCUCACAAACGUUAUUCGGAUUUACUGGGCUUAAAGGGUGCGUAGGCGGCCAUGUAAGUGAGGUGUGAAAUCCCUCGGCUCAACCGAGGAACUGCGCUUCAUACUGCAUGGCUUGAGGGAGACAGGGGUCAGCGGAACUGAUGGUGGAGCGGUGAAAUGCGUAGAUAUCUGGAGGAACACCGGUGGCGAAGGCGGCAUCCUGGACCGGCAUUGACGCUGAGGCGGCGAAAGCUAGGGGAGCAAACGGG